CUCCUACGGGAGGCAGCAGUGGGGAAUAUUGCACAAUGGGGGAAACCCUGAUGCAGCCAUGCCGCGUGUGUGAAGAAGGCCUUCGGGUUGUAAAGCACUUUCAGUAGGGAGGAAGGUAGUGUAGUUAACACCUGCAUUAUUUGACGUUACCUACAGAAGAAGCACCGGCUAACUCCGUGCCAGCAGCCGCGGUAAUACGGAGGGUGCGAGCGUUAAUCGGAAUUACUGGGCGUAAAGCGCAUGCAGGCGGCCUGUUAAGUCAGAUGUGAAAGCCCGGGGCUUAACCUCGGAACUGCAUUCAAAACUGACUGACUAGAGUAUGGUAGAGGGUGGUGGAAUUUCCUGUGUAGCGGUGAAAUGCGUAGAUAUAGGAAGGAACACCAGUGGCGAAGGCGGCCCCCUGGACAGAUACUGACACUCAGAUGCGAAAGCGUGGGGAGCAAACAGGAUUAGAUACCCUGGUAG
rnacentral:rRNA from 1 species